GUGAGCACGGCCCUCUGCCUGCACCGCCUCGGCUCAAAUAUACAGCUUUUUUUUCUUCGAACCGUGGGUGUUUGGAAAUUGAGUGAAAACGAUGUCACAUUAAUGAUUUAAAGUCGGUAAUAGGAUGUGCUGUGACGCUGAGCCGCCAGCUAAGCUGAGUUUAAGGCUUCGGCGUUAAUGUAUUCAUGAGGAGGAGGAUUAUACAGAGACAAGAGCAGCUAGAGAGCUGAGUGCAGCACAGCAGCCAGGGCCAACAGGCCUUCUAGAUAUUAUAUAUAACUCCAUUUAUACUGCACGAUGCAGGAGAUAAAAAAUCAACUGCAUUUCUCCCCCAAGCAUCCUCGACAUAGUGCUGGAUGGAAGGCAAUCACUCCUUCUCACUCUCAAGGUAGCGCAGACUCAGGCUGUAACUAUGUUUCAUCAGGCAGUCGUGCUCAGAGGUCACACAGAGGUCACGCGGGCCUUUCUUCACUGCUCUGCCUGACGUCAGAUGCUGGCAUCAUGGUUUCACGACUGAACCGGUUGCUCUGCAUCAAAGACGCCCUCUUUUCUUUCUCACAUGCUGAAACGAGGGUGAGCGUGUGGGAGUGCAGCGUGCAGCAUGUGUCCAGAAGGUGACACUGCACCCACAGGCCUUUACUGGGAAGCUUGGGUGGCAACAUUUGGGACUGAAACGUGAAGCGACAGUGCAGUUCCACUAAUGGCCACUGGAGGCUGGCUCCAAAAGUGUAGUGUAGCAUUAAUAAACACGUUUACAGCCUGGUAACAAACCUGGCUUUGGUGUUUUUAGUUUAUUGAGCCAUCUGUGACAAAUAGAAAGCAGCUGAACUUCUGUGUAACUCACUUGUUUUAAUUGUCUUGAAGCUUAAAGUUAGGCAGUGUUAGCAGGCGUGGCUUGUUUGGCUGACAGGCGUGUUCCGAUACAGCUUCACCUGAGCCAGUGCUGCUGGUUUCUUUUGGAGACAUGAUGUGUAUGCUUCAGCUUUAUUGAGUCAAAUUCAGAUAUUUUAUUUGUAUGCUACUUAGCAUUUGACUUGUCUGUGUGUUUCCAGGAUGUUUUCAGACUGUGAUUGUAGAGAUGGAACAAGCAGGACAAUCGAUCUGAAAUAAAUACAGUGUAGAAAUGUUUGUGAUGCUUUAAUGUUUGUGCGAUUGCACAGAAGGAUUAUGACUUUCAUUUAAGUAAAAUUUCUAAAUACUUUUACUAUAUGUAAAUAAAUGAGGAUUAAUAAACGGUAAGGAGAACAAUAUAUGCAUUUAUGUAUGAGCGCAGAGGUGGAAAGUAAAGUAAGAAAUACAAGUACAUUAAACAUAUACUUCACCAAUAUAUGUACUCAGUUACAUCCCACCAUUGGUCCAUGCUCUCAUAAUAAUUAACAGUGUUCUCUCCCAGUGGUUGUGGUGGUUGUAGUGGUGGUGGUGGUGGGGCACUCCUCUCUCCUCUCUCAGCCAUCAUCAUGAACUUAAGGCCUCAGAACAAUAGUCCACUGACAGUGUGUGAUGUCAUGGUGGAUGUGUGCAUCUUCUAUAUACAGUCUUAUAUAAAUAACUAUAGAAUUAAUAUAAUGCGAGCAGUUUUGAUCCUAAGGCAACCAAAUUUAGAUUCAACCAAAAAGUUUGUGAAAAUGUUUUAUUGUCAAAUGUUAGUAAAGUCCAAUAAUACCAUAAUGUAUAGCAUGUAAAAAAAAAAAGAAAAAAAUGAAGGAUGAUUAAAAAACACUUAUUAGAGCAAUCAUGAAGGCUUCUUCCUGCCAGGAAACCUACUCUCCAUACACCAUGUUGCAAUGUAUAAUUGUUUGGAGAAUUGAGAGUUAUAAAAACAUUGCUGUGCGCACCCUAAAUAAAUAAGGCACCCUAUCGUUUUCUUAGGAGUCUGUCAGGGGCUUUAUAACACCAGGCCUCGGGUGCCUCUGGUCUUUUCCUGUGUUUGGUGUAAUGUGUAAGAGCUCAGCGGGCCCUGGCAGGAACAACACUAUUUGGAAACUGUCAGUGUCCGCUCUGUGCCAACCAGCCACAAGAUACACCCCCACCCCCCCUUUUACUGAAAAACAUCCCCUCUGGAGCCCCAAUGGCUGCCAGUUUCUCAGACAGCCCACCGCUGACCCCUUCAGGCCAGGAAACUGUCGUCCAGCCAAGGAGCCAAAGAGCCCAGGGGCCUCGAUUUCUUUCCUUUUUUUUUUCCCCUCCCGACUCUAAGAUGGCUCUGCUGGCUGCUCGCUCACGCCUGGGAAAGGAGGGUGGAGAGACACAGGGAGAGGGCAGCGAAGAAAGAGAGAGAGGUAGAGAAAAUGCUCAAGUUUGCAUUUUUAAUUUGAUCGCCCCGUCACUUCACUUUGCUCCAAGAUUUAAAAAGCCCACUUAUUCCUCCUCAUCUUCCUCUGGACUUUUUUCUAAUAUGACAAGGAUUUCCCCAGAACUCAUGUUCUCCAGAUGGCAGGACGGAAGCCACGAGCCAUGCAGCAGACAGCCAUGUGUCCUGACAGUUGACUUUGAGUCAGAGUUGCGAUCAACUUGAUUUUGCCAGCUUUGUUUGUUUUAUUCUGUUAACCUCUAAAGGUCGAACGAGGUCGCACGAAAACUCGCCUCCCCCCAAAAAACAAGUGCCCUCUUGAUUGUCGUCAUUUAUUUGUCCUCCUCUGGGUUUUGCAUCCUCUCUCAUCGGGCCCCAAAUAUGAGUGGUUGGCUCCGUCUCUCUGCCUCUGGGUCUGUGUGGAAGACUUUUUUUCUCCUCUCUAUUGGGACAAAUCCAGGACAAUCCAGCCACAGUAUGGUUGAGAGUAAAACGAGGGAAAAGAGAGGCAGGAAGAGACGUGACAGCGGAGGGAUUGCGGGUUUAAAGUUUCAACUUUGGACAGCUGUUGUAUCAUCAGAGGGAUUUCCUGGAUGGAGGUGUCCUAAUGGCUUGGUGUUAAUAUGUAUUCAUAGACAACCCAUUAACGGCCUUCGCUAACACACCACCUCCUCUUCCUCCGUCCCUUCCAUAAUGGCCCUGGCUCGGCCUGCUGGUCUGCAUGUAGCGGAUAUAGCGUGGAUUUAUUCUGAUGUUCCCGGGGAUUACACCCUCAGUGAGCUGUGUAUUAUGAGUAGAUUUAGAGGCAUAACUCCUGAAGAUAAGGGGGGAUUGGGACGAUUGUUUAAACGGCUUGCGUUAGCCAUCAUCGCAGGGCUAGCAGCACGUGUGCGUGUGCGUGCGCGUGUGUGAGUAUGUGUGAGAGAAAGAGAAAGAUUCAGGACAAUCAAAUGUUCACGGCAUUGAUAUUCAUUGAAAUUCCAAACCGUCUCGUUCACAAUACGAAACACUAUUCUGAAAAUGCUUUAAACGAAUUCAAAUGAAUGCUUUAUGUAACCGAAAUGCUUUCUGGAUAAUGAAAAGCUUUUGGUUGCAUUAAUCAAAUGGGAAAUUCCAACGAUUAUGCACAAUCACUGCAAUUUAUUUUCACCUCAUCGGUUUCGUUCCAACUAUUUUAUAAAAGAAAAGUGAUUACAAAAUAAUAGAUAGUAUAAUAAAUAAUAAAAAAAGCAAAACUGUGCUUCUUUUAGAUGAAAAAUAAGUAGUUUGAAAGAUUAAUAAUGUUUUCUCACUGAAUCUGUGGGACUUUAGUGUUUCUGAUAAUUGAGAUGGAAUUUCAAUAAAAGCAAAUGAAAAUUCGAGUGUAACCCAACCUGACCCGUGUCUCUAUGAAUCCAAGUCUUUUUUACCUUUAAGAGACAUGCAACAAAAGCGUUUGAUCAUUGUGAAUUGCACCAAAAAGCUAAAAUGACUGUUCGGAUCCAAAGAACACUGCAAACCCAAAGCGAAGUGUGCAGCCCUUCCUUCAUGUCCCGUCGGGCCCCCGGACAUAAAUCUGAGGCUUCGGCACGCCGCUUGUUCGACAGAUGUGUGACUUCUGGUAUUGCGGUCUGUGGCUGAGCCGCCCUGUGGUGAGGCUCUUUUACGAGGCCUGGGGGACGAGCGGGAGACCACACCGACCGCAAAACACAGCUCCGUAAACACUUUUCAGGAAGAGCUCACAGAGCCGAGGGCUGCAGGCCUUCAAGCAACCUCGCUGACAACAAUGAAGCUCAAUGCUGAUAAAGAACACGUCCUGCUUUAUGCGCCGAUAUCAAGGUCUGCUCUUAAAACAGGCGUUAAAACACCAACAUCAGCAUCACCAACAACAUGUCCACACACACACACACACACACACACACACACACACACAGUAUCUGAACUUUUGACUUUAUAGUGUUAGUAAUGAUUCAAAAGUUCUCUGUCUAAAAGCAGUGAGCGAGCUGCCAGGUGGAUCUCUGAGUUUUUUCACUGAAAAUAAAAAGAAAGCGAGCUCUAAAUUCACGAGCAGGUCUGGCCAUCAGUAGCCUGAUUCUGUGUAAAGCAUAUAUUUAACAGUCUGUGUAUAUCUGUGUAUAUACUGCUGCAGGUACACAAAUUAGUGGAGCUUUCUGGGGUGGGGGUGGGGGGCAAUUUUCAAAUGUAAUUACCCAGAAACUACAAACUGUGAUGUCAAAGAACUGCAUUUCCACUGUGAGUAAAAAUACCACAGGAAAAGCAUAAUUUGCUUGAUUUGUCCUUUGCUUAUACACAUACAUAAAAGUGUGGAUGACCACAGUAAGAUGGACAUCAGGAGGUCACUGACAUGACACUGGUCAAAACCAAGUUUAACCAAAUUUUUUCUGAUUUGCCGUCAUGGCUUUGUCCCGCUCAAGGAGCUCGUUCUGCUCUACGGAGACGACCCGAAGAGAAGGAACAGUUUGAUCAGCCGGAGUAUAUUUUUUGUUUAUGUCACGACUGGAAAUAACAGCGAUUUCCGUCAAACGCGCCAUCGUCACCUCAUCCACCGCACCACGGGCGAAAAGCGACGGCGCUGAUGUGCCCACGCCCCCACAGGUGAAGCAC